UACGAAGGGGGCUAGCGUUGCUCGGAAUCACUGGGCGUAAAGCGCACGUAGGCGGCUUUUUAAGUCAGGGGUGAAAUCCUGGAGCUCAACUCCAGAACUGCCUUUGAUACUGGGAAGCUUGAGUCCGGGAGAGGUGAGUGGAACUCCGAGUGUAGAGGUGAAAUUCGUAGAUAUUCGGAAGAACACCAGUGGCGAAGGCGGCUCACUGGCCCGGUACUGACGCUGAGGCGCGAAAGCUAGGGGAGCAAACAGG
rnacentral:rRNA from 1 species